GGGGCCGCCCCCAGGUGGCUGCAGCUGCGCUUCCAGAGCGACCUGGACCACGAGGACGGGCUGCGGGUGCUGGAGCUGAGCGCCCUGGAGGGCCGGGCCAGGCAGCCCGGGGGAGGUGCAGAUGCCCCUGGGGACGGUGCCACCAUCGCGCUGCUGCUCUGCGUGGCCCUCCUGAUCCAGCACCGCCAGCACCUGCUCUGCUGCCGGGGCCCCCACGACCUGGUCCUCUUCGCCCAGAGGCUGCAGGGGGAGGUGGCGCUGGAGGCGCUGGGCCGGGAACUGGGCCCACUGGAGCCGCUGGGCGAGUUGCAAUGAAGCUCUGCUGUGCCGGGAGCGGGAUCCGUCCAUGUCUGGGCGGCCACAAGCCCCUUUCCCCCCCAUUUGCCAGCCUUGAGCCACUGGGGGGUGGGGGAAGUGGGUGAGCCCUGGGGGCUGCAGGUUGGGCGUGAGGGGCACUGGUGGUCAGGGGAGAGGAGCCAUCAGGUCCAGACAGUUCACACAAUGGCAGGAUCUGGAUCGGGCCCAGGCUGCCUGCAGCAGGGGGCACUCGGGGCAGGCCUGCGCGUACCAGUGAUGGGGGGAUUAAAGAACCCAGGCAUCAUCCCCUCCCACCCCCCCAGCAGGGGACAGGCAAUGAGCACAGGCCGCAGAUGGAAAAGUCACCGUUUAUUGCCCCGGGGGGGGGCAGGGGGGCCUCACACGUCAGUUUUAUGGACAGGAAAAAAUUCCCCUAGUUUAAAAACACCUAUGUUAAAAAAACAGCAAGGGCAG